AGCAGCCGCGGUAAUUCCAGCUCCAAUAGCGUAUAUUAAAGUUGUUGCAGUUAAAAAGCUCGUAGUUGAAUUUUGGGUUUGGCCAAUUGGUCCGUUCUUGUAACGAGUACUGGUUGGUUGGGCCUCACCGCCUGGUGAUACGUAAUGUCCUUUAUUGGGUGUGGCCGAGUAGCCAGGACCUUUACCUUGAAAAAAUUAGAGUGUUUAAAGCAGGCUUAUGCCGGAAUACAUUAGCAUGGAAUAAUAGAAUAGGACGAUGAUUCUAUUUUGUUGGUUUCUAGGAGCAUCGUAAUGAUUAAUAGGGAUAGUUGGGGGCAUUAGUAUUCAAUUGUCAGAGGUGAAAUUCUUGGAUUUAUUGAAGACUAACUACUGCGAAAGCAUUUGCCAAGGAUGUUUUCAUUAAUCAAGAACGAAAGUUAGGGGAUCGAAGACGAUCAGAUACCGUCGUAGUCUUAACCAUAAACUAUGCCGACUAGGAAUCAGACGAUGUUAAUUUUUUAAUGACUCGUUUGGCACCUUA
rnacentral:misc_RNA from 1 species